rnacentral:rRNA from 1 species
UAGUUGAACGCUGGCGGCAGGCCUAAUACAUGCAAGUCGAACGGUAACAUGAAAAAAGCUUGCUUUUUUUUGAUGACGAGUGGCGGACGGGUGAGUAAGGUUUGGGAAACUGCCUGAUAGAGGGGGACAACAGUUGGAAACGACUGCUAAUACCGCAUAUAGCCGAGAGGUGAAAGGAGCAAUCCGCUGAAAGAUGAGCUCGCGUCUGAUUAGAUAGUUGGUGGGGUAACGGCCUACCAAGUCGACGAUCAGUAGCCGGACUGAGAGGUUGAACGGCCACAUUGGGACUGAGACACGGCCCAGACUCCUACGGGAGGCAGCAGUGGGGAAUAUUGCACAAUGGGCGCAAGCCUGAUGCAGCAACGCCGCGUGAGGGAAGACGGUCUUCGGAUUGUAAACCUCUGUCCUUGGUGAAGAAACAUGACGGUAGCCAUGGAGGAAGCCACGGCUAACUACGUG